ACCAGUGUGGCAUAGUGGUUUGAGUGCUGGACUCUGGAGACCUGGGUUCGAAUCCCUGCUUGGUC
rnacentral:tRNA from 1 species